rnacentral:rRNA from 1 species
UGGGGAAUAUUGGACAAUGGGCGCAAGCCUGAUCCAGCCAUGCCGCGUGAGUGAUGAAGGCCCUAGGGUUGUAAAGCUCUUUCACCGGUGAAGAUAAUGACGGUAACCGGAGAAGAAGCCCCGGCUAACUUCGUGCCAGCAGCCGCGGUAAUACGAAGGGGGCUAGCGUUGUUCGGAUUUACUGGGCGUAAAGCGCACGUAGGCGGACUUUUAAGUCAGGGGUGAAAUCCCGGGGCUGAACCCCGGAACUGCCUUUGAUACUGGAAGUCUUGAGUAUGGUAGAGGUGAGUGGAAUUCCGAGUGUAGAGGUGAAAUUCGUAGAUAUUCGGAGGAAAACCAGUGGCGAAGGCGGCUCACUGGACCAUUACUGACGCUGAGGUGCGAAAGCGUGGGGAGCAAACAGG